rnacentral:lncRNA from 1 species
GCAUUAGCGCAAGCUCUUGGGCCAGUUGCUGCAUGAUGAACUUGAAAACGGGGGGUGCCCGCGAGGCG